AGCACAUUCCGAAGGCUUAUACACACAUUCCAGGAGAAGGGCCAAGGAAAUGCCUUUUAACUUAUCUGUGACUAUUGGCUAUCCUUAUUUUACAAGCCCCCUGAUGACCGUAAGCAAAAGCUAGGACCAGGAGCAUGAAGGAGAUCAGGAUAUCAGAAUGGACAACAAAAGAAGAGCGAAUCAGGAGACUGAGCAGGAACAAGG